rnacentral:rRNA from 1 species
AGUGAACGCUGGCGGUAGGCCUAACACAUGCAAGUCGAACGGCAGCACAGUAAGAGCUUGCUCUUACGGGUGGCGAGUGGCGGACGGGUGAGGAAUACAUCGGAAUCUACUUUUUCGUGGGGGAUAACGUAGGGAAACUUACGCUAAUACCGCAUACGACCUACGGGUGAAAGCAGGGGAUCUUCGGACUUUGCGCGAUUGAAUGAGCCGGUGCCGGAUUAGCUAGUUGGCGGGGUAAAGGCCCACCAAGGCGACGAUCCGUAGCUGGUCUGAGAGGAUGAUCAGCCACACUGGAACUGAGACACGGUCCAGACUCCUACGGGAGGCAGCAGUGGGGAAUAUUCGACAAUGGGCGCAAGCCUGAUCCAGCCAUACCGCGUGGGUGAAGAAGGCCUUCGGGUUGUAAAGCCCUUUUGUUGGGAAAGAAAAGCAGCAGGUUAAUACCCCGCUGUUCUGACGGUACCCAAAGAAUAAGCACCGGCUAACUUCGUG